rnacentral:rRNA from 1 species
AGUGAACGCUGGCGGUAGGCCUAACACAUGCAAGUCGAACGGCAGCACAGUAAGAGCUUGCUCUUACGGGUGGCGAGUGGCGGACGGGUGAGGAAUACAUCGGACUCUACUUUUUCGUGGGGGUUAACGUAGGGAAACUUACGCUAAUACCGCAUACGACCUACGGGUGAAAGCAGGGGAUCUUCGGACCUUGCGCGAUUGAAUGAGCCGAUGUCGGAUUAGCUAGUUGGCGGGGUAAAGGCCCACCAAGGCGACGAUCCGUAGCUGGUCUGAGAGGAUGAUCAGCCACACUGGAACUGAGACACGGUCCAGACUCCUACGGGAGGCAGCAGUGGGGAAUAUUGGACAAUGGGCGCAAGCCUGAUCCAGCCAUACCGCGUGGGUGAAGAAGGCCUUCGGGUUGUAAAGCCCUUUUGUUGGGAAAGAAAAGCAGCAGGUUAAUACCCCGCUGUUCUGACGGUACCCAAAGAAUAAGCACCGGCUAACUUCGUG